rnacentral:tRNA from 1 species
AGCCCUGUAGUGUAGUGGCCAAUCAUCUGGGAUUUUGGGUCCUGGGACCCAGGUUCGAAUCCUGGCGGGGCUA